GCUUUCUAGGGAGAAAAGAUGGCCACGGGAUUUUAGAGACGCCGGUCUUCACAUCCCCCUUCCUUAUCACCCGGGAAGGAGAGAAAACAGCGGACAUUUAACACUGGGAACGUAUGGGGGAAGAGGAAAGGGAGGACACCAGAAGCGUCUCUAAAUUCAUUCUUGUCAUAGUCAAGACCCCAGGAGUCGGAAGCGGGAAGCCUCCGCGUACUCAGUGCGGUACUCACGCCUCACUGGCCGCACUCUAUUCUGGCACCCGGACCCGAUACUUACCCAGUGAACGAAGCCUCUACAGUAGAAUGAGAUGGCUUGAAUAGCCAUACACACUUGCUGUGGACAGAAACUGCUGCUGAAUUUCUCUCAGAGGAGCCUGGGAAUUAUGGCCUCAUGUGUAUAGCUGAACUUUGCUGAAGCACUGAGCCUCUGAUUAAUGCAAUUAAACAAGUAAAGGUAUGGAGUGUUGCCCUCAAGGUUGCUGUUCCUAGUAAAGAAUCUAUUUCUCCUACUAUACUCUCAUUUUUCUACAGAUGAGUAGUUGCAAACUGUACUGGAUGUGGCUUUUCAUCUGUGUGUUAUUUGCCUAUAUUGUGAUGGAAGCACACAAGCUGGGAAGAAUGUGUCUUUUAAAGCACAGAAUGAUCAUAAUGCUGUUAAUGGUCUUUGUCCUCUUUUCCUUAGGACGGGCUUUAACUUGAGUUAUUCAGAUGUUGCUUGGUGAGAUGAAAGAGUCAAUGAGGUUUUGGUUGCUGAGGAAAGCAGAAUUCUUUUUUGUUGUUUCUUUUAACAUGGAGAUUGAGUUUAUUUUUUUCCCAUUCUACCAAAACUCCUAUGUGGUCAUCUCCUCAGGAAAUAGGUGUCAGCUACUGCUCUAAAUUUAGGAAAUACACACACAUAAGAAACUAAUCAUGUAAUUUUUCCAAAGCACUAUACUGGCAUUGACAAAAAUAUACAUUUUUAAAAAAUUUCUGAAUAAAAUAAAAAAAUAAAAAUUCUGGGCUAGUAUCAUACCACUCUGAGCCUUUAUUUUUAAACCUCUUUAUUUCUACUAUAAGGUAUGACUAUGAACUUUGUAUAGUUUGUGAAAUCAGUUAUAUUUUCUG